GGGAGGGUGACCUGGCUGCGACAUCUGUCACCCCAUUGAUUUCCAGGGUUAAUUUGGCUGAUCUGGCUGGCUGGGCCGGCGUCCUCUUCCUCCCUCAAUGCUCCAUGUGCAUCUCUCCCAAAGCCGCGUGCUCAGUUGAAGAGGACGACCACCCCUGAUGAAGGAGGACUGUUCUUUUGUGAAGGGUAUACAAGUAGCUGCGCUCCCCUGCUAGAACCUCCGAACAAGUUUUCACGAAAUUUAGUGGUUGUCAGCAGUGCAGGGUGAGGGAGAGUAGAUGU
rnacentral:snRNA from 1 species